rnacentral:rRNA from 1 species
UACGGGGGGGGCAAGCGUUGUUCGGAAUUACUGGGCGUAAAGGGCUCGUAGGCGGCCAACUAAGUCCGAUGUGAAAUCCCCAGGCUUAACCUGGGAACUGCAUCCGAUACUGGUCGGCUUGAAUCCGGGAGAGGGAUGCAGAAUUCCAGGUGUAGCGGUGAAAUGCGUAGAUAUCUGGAGGAAUACCGGUGGCGAAGGCGGCAUCCUGGACCGGCAUUGACGCUGAACAGCGAAAGCUAGGGGAGCAAACGGG